UAGGGAAUAUUGGACAAUGGGGGCAACCAUGAUCCAGCCAUGCCGCGUGAGUGAAGAAGGCCCUCGGGUUGUAAAGCUCUUUUGUCCGGAAAGAAAAGCAUUCGGUGAAUACCCGGAUGUUCUGACGGUACCGGAAGAAUAAGCACCGGCUAACUUCGUGCCAGCAGCCGCGGUAAUACGAAGGGUGCAAGCGUUACUCGGAAUUACUGGGCGUAAAGCGUGCGUAGGUGGUUGUUUAAGUCUGAUGUGAAAGCCCUGGGCUCAACCUGGGAAUGGCAUUGGAAACUGGGCAGCUAGAGUGCGGUAGAGGGUAGUGGAAUUCCCGGUGUAGCAAUGAAAUGCGUCGAGAUCGGGAGGAACAUCUGUGGCGAAGGCGACUGCCUGGACCAGCACU
rnacentral:rRNA from 1 species